GAAAUGCGAUAAGUAAUGUGAAUUGCAGAAUUCCGUGAAUCAUCGAAUCUUUGAACGCACAUUGCGCCCUCUGGUAUUCCGGGGGCAUGCCUGUCCGAGCGUCAUUGCGAACCCCUCAAGCACGGCUUGUGUGAUGGGCCCUCCCGCGUCUUGGUCGUCAAGACGGGCCCGAAAUGCAGUGGCGGCUUCGCGGUUAUCCGAUCAGCCAGAGCGUAUGGGGACUUUCUCUCUGUCACACGCCCGCGGCGCGGACCGACGCCUGUCGACCUUCAUUCAUCGUUUUCUCGGUUGACCUCGGAUCGGGUAGGGAUACCCGCUGAACUUAAGC
rnacentral:misc_RNA from 1 species